AUUGAACGCUGGCGGCAGGCCUAACACAUGCAAGUCGAGCGGAUGAAGGGAGCUUGCUCCUGGAUUCAGCGGCGGACGGGUGAGUAAUGCCUAGGAAUCUGCCUGGUAGUGGGGGAUAACGUCCGGAAACGGGCGCUAAUACCGCAUACGUCCUGAGGGAGAAAGUGGGGGAUCUUCGGACCUCACGCUAUCAGAUGAGCCUAGGUCGGAUUAGCUAGUUGGUGGGGUAAAGGCCUACCAAGCCGACGAUCCGUAACUGGUCUGAGAGGAUGAUCAGUCACACUGGAACUGAGACACGGUCCAGACUCCUACGGGAGGCAGCAGUGGGGAAUAUUGGACAAUGGGCGAAAGCCUGAUCCAGCCAUGCCGCGUGUGUGAAGAAGGUCUUCGGAUUGUAAAGCACUCUAAGUUGGGAGGAAGGGCAGUAAGUUAAUACCUUGCUGUUUUGACGUUACCAACAGAAUAAGCACCGGCUAACUUCGUG
rnacentral:rRNA from 1 species